GCAUGCGCGGAGAGUGAGCGUGCAUCUUGUCUGGUGCUGUAGUCCUGAGACGUAUACAUGGUGGUGUUCUUUUGUAGUUUUCUAUUUGUAUCAAAAUACUUAUUUGUUACUCUGUGUACGGAAUUAAUGAAUUAUGUAAAAGCAAACCCAGUAUGCAGUUGAAGUAGGAUCGAAUGAAAGAUUGCUACAACGAAUGAAUUGUGCUCUUCGCGGUGUGGCUUAACUGCAACGAUGCUUCAUUGCCUUUGUUGGAAUAUAGCUUCGGUGACAGUGCUUUGUUUAUUUUACCUCACAAUAGAUGGUGUAAAGGUUAGGCCUAUUGGUCUUGAUACUGCAGUAAUAUAUGGAGAAAACGCCACUUUGUUGUGCCAUCUGACCAAGACUGAUGAAAGUCUAACUCGUAUUUUGUGGAAGAAAAAGACACAAGAAAACCCUGAAGAGAAGAUCUUCUUUGUCAUUCAUCCAGAUGGCACAACUGAACAGUCAAAUGGAUUGGGGGACAGAAUACAAUUCGUUGGGAAAUUUGCAGAGAAAAAUGGAUCAAUUCAGCUGCUCAGAAUGAGGUUUCUGGAUGAAGGGAUCUACACAUGCAUCUUCAACUUAAUUUACAGUGGGCCAUUAACAACUGACAUUAAUGUAACAGUUUUUGCUCGUCCUGUGGUUAAUGUGAAAGGGGAGGCACCUGUUGCUGGUCAUUUAGAGGCUACGUUGGCAUCAUGCUUUGCCUCUAAUGCAUUGCCUGCAGCAGCAGUGAUGUGGAGACUAGGAGAUCUGGAAAACUUUCUGAGGACUGAAACCAACCGUACAGUGCACCCCAAUGGGACCAUUACUGUUGUGUCCUACCUACUUGGUGUCCCAUUCAAACAUUUAAACAAAAAGAACGUCCAGUGUGUGGUGAAACACAACACCCUAAGAGAAGACCUUGUGAUGAACUACAUAAUAAACAUUGAAUAUCCUCCAGGGUCAGUGGUUAUAAUUCCUUACAGUGCAGCUAAUGUUAAAGAAUUCAAGUGUAUAGUCGAUAGUAACCCAGAACCAACCAACUACACCUGGACUAGAGUGAAUAAAAGUACUCCCUAUUAUAAAGGCAACAAACUUCCUGUCCCAAAACUGUCCCCUGACUUUAAUGGCUUGUAUAUCUGUCAAGCUUCAAACCAGUAUGGAAGCUCAUCAGGUUCUCUGUAUGUAAAUGUUCAUACUGAAUCCAACACUGUCUGUUGGGGUCUGUUUGGUUUUUUCAACUGUGCUGUUCUUGGGGUUAUUGUCGGUGCUGUGAUAUUCAAAAAAAAGCCGAUCCUCCUCUCAUGGUGUUCAGGCGCGGAUGUAACUUGAGAGAUCAUUUGAGAAUGGAUUCCAGUAUCACUGCGUAACAAUGACGAAGGAGCACAGGACAGUAGAGAACUCUGAACAAGAUGGGAAGAUGGCUGUGAUGAACAGGAAUGGAGGGCUUUCAGUUUACAGACAAUGACAGCUAUGUGCAGGUCAGCGCUCCAUCACAAACCAAAAGUACUAAAUUACCGGAUGUGCCUUUGUUUAGAGAGAAGAAUAAUACUGAUUGGAACAAAGUUCCUUAAGUUUUUAAGGACUGAUAAGGGGAGGAUUCAGAGAGAAAUCACUGUAGACUUCAACUAACAUGAUGGGGAUCACAUAGAUCACACAAGACUUUGACUAAAGAAGACAAGCUAAUAGAUAAGCUAUCAGAUUAAGUUGAAAGUAGAAGUGGUGCACAGGAAAGUACCUUACUUUCAAUAAAAAGGUAGUGUGACGAGCAGGGCGGGCGAGAGCCGUGAGGGAUAUUUAUUUCGCGAGUGAUAAUGAGCAUCACCUGCGAGGCGCGCCGGCCUCGAGUCUCUCACGGAGGAGCUCCGGAGGCAUAAAAGGAGGAGCGACGACCGUGAAGGACGAGAGAGGACCAGGCCUGGACUUUAUUUUAUGUUUUAUUAUGUUUGUGUGGCCGGCAGACGUCCGCGAGGGUCUGCCGGCAUUACUUUCGUUUUGUUCUUUGUUUAUUUUGAAUUAAACUUUUGUUGAACGUUCGCCGGUUCCCGCCUCCUUCUUCCCACAUCUACUAACCGUGUUACAGAUAGUGAUAUUAUUUUUCAAGCUGCAAAACGAUACCAUUUUUUAAGCAUUAUGUACCUCUUCCCUUCUCCUGACUCUAGAGCUUUAUUUAGAGGCGGAAUGAAUAACAUUCAUAUUGUGUUGUCUGUGUCUGCAUUGUUUUAGCAGCUGACUAAUAAAAAAUUAGAGCAAAACAAUAUGCUCGGUGCAGUUUCCCAUUUUGUCUGCUUGUUAGGCGUUGGAAACUUAGACAGAUCUGGCAAGCAUUUCUUGAGCUGUACUUGAGCUUACUUGUUGUGUUUCAUCUCUUUAAACUGCUGAAAGUGUGCUGGAUUACAAACCACAUCUUGACAUAUGUGCCGUUAUUUAUUAUGUUGUGAGUGAAUCAUCAGCACAAAAGGCAGAACAGGAUAUCCUAGAUCAACAGAUGUAUGUUAAACCUGAUAGAGCAGGGUGGUUAUAGGGGUGGGGGAUCGCUUUCACAGGCAGAUGUUGGCUUUGGGCUGUAGACCAACUGUCUAACUGUCUUUUCUUCCUUUGUGUUCUUUCUUUGACAAGACAGUAGGUCUGAAAGAGUGAGGGAGUGGAAUCUAAACACAACAGAACGCAGUGAGCAGUUCACAACCGUUUGAUCAUGGAAAUGUAGUACUUUUUUUGGUAGAAAUGCUAUCCCAUUCAUCAAAUAUCUAUCAGACAAAUCGUCAAACAUGACCAUCAGCUAAUCAAGUUUUAACAGCUAAUACAGGCUGAUCAUUUUGAAAUUUGGCCUGUCCCAUAGAAAAAAAAAAAUAUUGCUCAGUGGUUGCUUUUCUUAAGCUCAUGAGACUUAGUUGCAAUUCUCAUAUAUCCCUAAUUUUAGUAUCAAUAGAGUUUCAGAUGUUUCUCCUAAAAUUCCUUAAGAGAAAUAAGAAUAGACACAAAUGAGACGAGAAAUAUCUGAGAGAAAAGGAGUCAAAACUGAGAGAGUGGUGGAAGAAACUUAGAACAUCUCUUUAUUGACUUGCUGUAGUCUCUUUCAAGACUCCAUUUUAUUGCUUAGAGGUUGCUGUUUUUAAGCUCAUGAAAUUUAGUUGUGAUUCUCAUAUACCAUUGUAGUAUCAACACUGUCUCAGAUGUUUAAUAAGGAGAAAUAAGAGUAGACACAACUGAGACAUGAGAAAUAUCUGUGAGAAAAGGAGUCCAAAAUGAGAAAAAGAAAUCUGUUUAUUGUAAAAAAUAUUUUCAGAGGUUGCUUUUUUUUUUUUUUUUUUUAGCCUUGUGGACCGCACAUCAACAUUGAGACACAGCAGCUCCUCAGACAGCACGAGUAGGAAGAUCGUUCCACCAGCAAGGAACAGUAAACGAGAAUGUUCUGGAGAGUGAUUUCGUGCCUCUCUGUGAUGGUAACACGAGCCUUCACUCAUUUAAUGAGCGUAGGCUUCUGGUAGGAGUGUAGAAUUGUAAGAGUGAGUGGAAGUAGGAGGGUGCUGAGCUUGUGGUAGAUCUGUAAGCAAGCGUCAACGCCUUGAAUUUGAUGCGAGCAGCAAGUGGUAGCCAGUGCAGAGAGAUGAAGAGAGGUGUGACGUGGGCUCUUUUGAGCUCGUUAAAGACAAGACGUGCUGCAGCGUUCUGAAUCAUUUGUAGAGGUUUGAUUGUGCAUGAUGGCAGUCCAGCCAGAAAAGCAUUGCAGUAAUCAAGCCUAGACAUGACCAGGGCCUGGACCAGAAGUUGUGUUGCAUGUUCUGUUAGAAAGGGCCUGAUUUUCCUUAUGUUGUAUAGUGCAAAUCUGCAUGACCGAGCUGUCUUUGCAAUGUGGUCUUUGAAGGUCAGUUGGUCAGAUUUCUGGCCGAAUUUGAUGGGGUUAUUGAUGAUGUACCUAGCUGGAUGCUGAAAUUGUGAUUUAGAGUGGGAUUGGCAGGGAAGACCAGAAGCUCAGUCUUUGCCAGGUCGAGCUGCAGGUGAUGUUCUUUCAUCCAUGCUGAGAUGUCCGCCAGACAGCUUGAGAUUCGUGCAGCUACUGUGGGAUCAUCUGGAUGGAAUGAAAGGAAGAGCUUUGUGUGUCAUCAGCAUAGCAAUGGUAGGAGAAACCAUGUGCCUGUAUGAUGGGACCAAGUGAUGUAGUUUAAAUGGAGAAGAGGAGGGGUCCAAGAACUGAACCCUGAGGAACCCCUGUGGUCAGUUGAUGUAUUAGUAUUACAUUUGUUUCUUGUUAACAAAUGUAAUACUAGUGUUAUUACAGUGCUUCAUGGUUGUUGCAUUAUUAUUUUUUUCUCUUCAUUUAACAUUGCUAAGUUUGUCUUGUACAACCCAUUUUGCAUGCAUGUAAAUAUAGGUCAUGUUUUCCUCCAAGUCAUUGUUCAACAAAACUGUCUACACUAAACUUCAAAUAUGAAAA